rnacentral:misc_RNA from 1 species
CGCACACCACCUUCUUUAAAGAUCCCUGCACCGCAGCCAUCGUUUCCAGGACGUUCCGGUUUCGGAAUAUUCGCGGCGAAAAUCGUGGCGUGGAUAAUAGCAGCUGCGAUAACAAUAACAAUAAUCGAUAACCUGUAAUCCGGCUGAUAGCACAAAGGGGUGGCUGGAGGAUUGUCGGAGACGAUGAAAGAAACUCCUAUACGAUCCAACCAGCACGUUUUCAACGUAUAUUGGUUGGUGUGACGUGUUCGCGUGUAUAGAUCGCUAGCUAACAGAAACGCGUGAAAUCAUCUCGUUCUUGCAAACGAGAUCGCGUUAACCGGGAUUAUGAU